UGAAAGGUGAUCAAAUAAUAAUCACAAAACUAUGGAAAUAUUACUCAUAAAUAAAUACCAUAGCAUAAUUAUUCAUGUAACCAAAUUAAAUAAUUAUAGCACCUUAGAUUAGUGCACUCACUCAAUUAUAAUAUUCCUCUUCGUAGGAAAAAAAAAAUCAUUUAAAAAAAUAUUAUGCUUGGAAAAAUUUUCCAUAAACCGGCAUCAUUCGAUUUCUCGAUAAAAAUAAACCAUACUUGCUUUGGAAACUUAAACAAAAUUCCAAAUGCUAAGGUCUCGAAUAAAAAUCAUAAUAACUCGGUCAUAAUGACACACGUCACAAAAUCACAUAAUCACUCAGUCACGUAAAUUCACAUAACAUCACAUCAAAACAGUCGGCAGACUCAGAUAAGCUAGACGUCUCUCUGACCGACUCUAUAUAUCUAGGUUUCUCACUCUUUCUUCCUCGACUCUAUUUCCAACUCAGUAUUCCUAUUUUUCUUAAUAGGACAGUCAAUCUCUAACAAUUUAGUAUCCGGUAACUCUAUUCCCGGUAGUUGGAAUUAAAAUAAAAUCUCA
rnacentral:lncRNA from 1 species